UGGAAGUGUUUGGCUUGCUAAAUUCGUAUAUUAAUGAUCAGAUUAAUAAAUAAUUGUUGCCCUAAAGAGGAAGUGCGCAUCAGCCUUGUCGGAAGUAAUCCGUGAAGAGACAAAACAACAGGAGGCAGGACAAGUACAGAACAUCGAAAUCUUGAUGUUUGUUCCAAAUUCAGAAGUCUGGUGGAUACAGACCCAUUUAGGAGGAGGGCACACUUCUGCUGGCUUGACAGUACGUAUAUACCAUCCAGGGUUUUGCAGUGAUAGGUGCCAGCUACUGGAGAGUGAAAUGCCGUUCAAUCAACCAGUUCAUUUUUAAAAGCCUAGUUAAUCUAACUAAUCUUUCUUUUUUUUUCCAACAAACCUUUAACUUAAACUUUUUCUUUGUUUCUAAUUCUUUUCUUUCUUUCUAUAACUAUUCAUAAAGCUAUAACCAUUCUACACUUAUGGAUAGAUAGGAGGGUUGAAGAUUAGUAAGAAAAACAAAGAAAUUGUUUUUCUUACUAAUCUUCUACCCUCCUAUCUAUCCAUAAGUGUAGAAUGGUUAUAACUUUGUUCUCUUGCAAAUGACAGGUAGCCAACAUGUAUGUACUGAUGUAAUUCAUGCCAUUGUUAUAACUGGUGUGAGAUUGUGUACGGUAGAGUCUCUGGCCUGCGACCCCGUGAGACUUUGACCCCUGGCUCUACCGAUGAAACUAUUCUUCAAUAAAUUUUUACUUAUUUGAUUGUA